AGAACGAACGCUGGCGGCAGGCCUCAAACAUGCAAGUCUAGGGGGUGUAGCAAUACAUCACCGGCGGACGGGUGCGUAACGCGUGGGAAUGUACCUAUUGGUUCGGAACAACUGAGGGAAACUUCAGCUAAUACCGGAUGAGCCCGAAAGGGGAAAGAUUUCUCGCCAAUAGAUCAGCCCGCGUCCGAUUAGCUAGUUGGUGGGGUUAAAGCCUACCAAGGCGACGAUCGGUAGCUGUUCUGAGAGGAAGAUCAGCCACACUGGGACUGAGACACGGCCCAGACUCCUACGGGAGGCAGCAGUUGGGAAUCUUGGACAAUGGGGGAAACCCUGAUCCAGCCAUGCCGCGUGAGUGAUGAAGGCCUUCGGGUUGUAAAACUCUUUCGACGGGACGAUAAUGACGGUACCCGUAGAGAAGCUCCGGCUAACUUCGUGCCAGCAGCCGC
rnacentral:rRNA from 1 species